UACGGGGGGAGCAAGCGUUGUUCGGAUUUACUGGGCGUAAAGGGCGCGUAGGCGGUCAGCACAAGUCAGUUGUGAAAUCUCCGGGCUUAACUCGGAAAGGUCAACUGAUACUGUGCGACUAGAGUGCAGAAGGGGCAACUGGAAUUCUCGGUGUAGCGGUGAAAUGCGUAGAUAUCGAGAGGAACACCAGUGGCGAAGGCGGCUCACUGGACCGGAACUGACGCUGAGGCGCGAAAGCGUGGGGAGCAAACAGG
rnacentral:rRNA from 1 species